rnacentral:rRNA from 1 species
UACGUAGGUGGCAAGCGUUGUCCGGAUUUAUUGGGUUUAAAGGGUGCGUAGGCGGCCAAUUAAGUCAGUGCUGAAAUACUCUAGCUUAACUAGAGGGGUGGCAUUGAUACUGAUUGGCUUGAGUGAAGUCGAGGUAGGCGGAAUUGACGGUGUAGCGAUGAAAUGCUUAGAUAUCGUCAAGAACACCGAUAGUGAAGACAGCUUACUAGACUUCAACUGACGCUGAGGCACGAAAGUGUAGGGAUCAAACAGG